CAUGCAAGUCGAACGCAGUAGCAAUACUGAGUGGCAAACGGGUGAGUAUAAUGUGGGAAUCUGCCUUUUGGUUUGGAAUAACACGGGGAAACUUGUGCUAAUACCGAAUAAGCCUUUACAGGGAAAGUUUUAACGCCGAAAGAUGAGCCCGCACUUGAUUAGCUAGUUGGUAAGGUAAAAGCUUACCAAGGCAAUGAUCAAUAGCUGUUCUUAGAGGAAGACCAGCCACAUUGGGACUGAGACACGGCCCAGACUCCUACGGGAGGCAGCAGUGGGGAAUCUUGCACAAUGGGGGAAACCCUGAUGCAGCGAUGCCGCGUGAGUGAAGAAGGCCUUUGGGUUGUAAAACUCUUUCGUCGGGGAAGAAAAUGACUGUACCCGAAUAAGAAGGUCCGGCUAACUUCGUGCCAGCAGCCGCGGUAAUACGAAGGGACCUAGCGUAGUUCGGAAUUACUGGGCUUAAAGAGCUCGUAGGUGGUUAAAAUAGUUGAUGGUGAAAUCCCAAGGCUUAACCUUGGAACUGCCAUCAAAACUUUUUAGCUAGAGUGUGAUAGAGGUAAGUGGAAUUUCUAGUGUAGAGGUGAAAUUCGUAGAUAUUAG
rnacentral:rRNA from 1 species